rnacentral:rRNA from 1 species
GACGAACGCUGGCGGCGUGCCUAAUACAUGCAAGUAGAACGCUGAGGAGAGGAGCUUGCUCUUCUUGGAUGAGUUGCGAACGGGUGAGUAACGCGUAGGUAACCUGCCUUGUAGCGGGGGAUAACUAUUGGAAACGAUAGCUAAUACCGCAUAACAAUGGAUGACACAUGUCAUUUAUUUGAAAGGGGCAAUUGCUCCACUACAAGAUGGACCUGCGUUGUAUUAGCUAGUAGGUGAGGUAAUGGCUCACCUAGGCGACGAUACAUAGCCGACCUGAGAGGGUGAUCGGCCACACUGGGACUGAGACACGGCCCAGACUCCUACGGGAGGCAGCAGUAGGGAACCUUCGGCAAUGGGGGCAACCCUGACCGAGCAACGCCGCGUGAGUGAAGAAGGUUUUCGGAUCGUAAAGCUCUGUUGUAAGUCAAGAACGGGUGUGAGAGUGGAAAGUUCACACUGUGACGGUAGCUUACCAGAAAGGGACGGCUAACUACGUG